GAUGAACGCUGGCGGCGUGCUUAACACAUGCAAGUCGAACGAAGUAUAUUGGAAUGAGUUCUUCGGAACAAGUGAAUUUAUACUUAGUGGCGGACGGGUGAGUAACGCGUGGAUAACCUGCCUUACACUGGGGGACAACAGUUAGAAAUGACUGCUAAUACCGCAUAAGCGCACAGUACCGCAUGGUACGGUGUGAAAAACUCCGGUGGUGUAGGAUGGAUCCGCGUCUGAUUAGCUCGUUGGUGAGGUAAUGGCUCACCAAGGCGACGAUCAGUAGCCGGCCUGAGAGAGUGAACGGCCACAUUGGGACUGGGACACGGCCGAGACUCCUACGUGAGGCAGCAGUGGGGAAUAUUGCACAAUGGGCGAAAGCCUGAUGCAGCGAGGCCGCGUGAGCGAAGAAGUAUUUCGGUAUGUAAAGCUCUAUCAGCAAGGAAGAUAAUGACGGUACUUGACUAAGAAGCCCCGGCUAACUACGUGCCAGCCGCCGCAGUAAGAC
rnacentral:rRNA from 1 species